GCAUGAAGAUAAAGAGAGAGAGAGAGAGAGAGAGAGAGUGCACCACUGAGAUGUUACUUCUCUCUCUCUCUCUCUCUCUGUCUCUCGCUUUUUCUUUG
rnacentral:miRNA from 1 species